rnacentral:lncRNA from 1 species
AUCUCCUCUUCUUAGCUUCCUUCAGGAUAACUGGAUCUUUGCCCAGGAUUUAACACGGAAGGCCUGAAAAGCAUCACAAGUUCUUCCAUAAGCUUUCUGAAUCCGGGGGUAACUCAGAGCCCUGUGUAAUUGCCUCUAACUCCUUCAGGCAUAGCCAGACUGGGUUUCGGGAUUGUAAUAAUGAACUUCAAUGAGAAAGUCUGAUGGAGACAUUUUCCUAAAAGAAGGUGGAAACAAAAGACCAACAAUCAGCAUAUACUUAAAACAAAAGAGUUCUCUCAUCUGUUUCCUUUCGCUAGUAACUUUCAAGACAGUAAACGGAGACAGGAGAAUGUUUAUCUGUGAUAUGAAGAGAAUUUGGAACACAGGACUUUCUACCAGUGCCACGUGUUGAGAGUCUUUCUCCACACUGUUCUGAAAACUGUGAAAUUAAAGGAUCUGCAACUUGUGUUUAUGCUGCAUCCUAAACAUUUGGAAAAGACUUACAGCAAGAGGAGAAGCAACAAUUACUCAGGAAAAGCACAAGGAAGAUGGAGAGGAAG